rnacentral:rRNA from 1 species
GCCUCCUCACCCCCCAUAAAACAAAUCCUAAAAAAGCUUUGUAACCCCGGAGGAACUUAGCAUAUCAAUAAGCGGAGGAAAAGAAACCAACAGGGAUUGCCCCAGUAACGGCGAGUGAAGCGGCAACAGCUCAAAUUUGAAAUCUGGCCCCCCCGCGGGCCCGAGUUGUAAUUUGCAGAGGAUGCUUUUGGCGCGGCGCCUUCCGAGUGCCCUGGAACGGGACGCCAUAGAGGGUGAGAGCCCCGUCUGGUCGGACGCCCAGCCUCUGUAAAGCUCCUUCGACGAGUCGAGUAGUUUGGGAAUGCUGCUCUAAACGGGAGGUAUAUGUCUUCUAAAGCUAAAUACCGGCCAGAGACCGAUAGCGCACAAGUAGAGUGAUCGAAAGAUGAAAAGCACUUUGAAAAGAGGGUUAAACAGUACGUGAAAUUGUUGAAAGGGAAGCGCUUGUGACCAGACUCGGGCGCGGCGAAUCACCCGGCGUUCUCGCCGGUGCACUUCGACGCGCCCGGGCCAGCAUCAGCUCGCCGCGGGGGACAAAGGCGCCGGGAACGUGGCUCCCCAGGGAGUGUUAUAGCCCGGCGCGCAACGCCCCGCGGCGGACUGAGGUUCGCGCGUCCGCAAGGAUGCUGGCGUAAUGGUCACCAGUGACCCGUCUUGAAACACGGACCAAGGAGUCGUCCUCGUAUGCGAGUGUUCGGGUGUCAAACCCCUACGCGCAAUGAAAGUGAACGCGGGUGAGAGCCUCGCGGCGCAUCAUCGACCGAUCCUGAUGUUCUCGGAUGGAUUUGAGUAGGAGCAUACGGGGCCGGACCCGAAAGAAGGUGAACUAUGCCUGUGUAGGGUGAAGCCAGAGGAAACUCUGGUGGAGGCUCGCAGCGGUUCUGACGUGCAAAUCGAUCGUCAAACAUGGGCAUGGGGGCGAAAGACUAAUCGAACCUUCUAGUAACUGGUUUCGCAUUAUUCCCUCCCCGAUAUAUAAAACCCCCCGGGGGGGAGGGGGAGAGGAAGAGAGGGUGGAGGGAGAGG